rnacentral:rRNA from 1 species
GGCGGCGUGGAUAAGACAUGCAAGUCGAACGAGAGAAUUGCUAGCUUGCUAAUAAUUCUCUAGUGGCGCACGGGUGAGUAACACGUGAGUAACCUGCCCCCGAGAGCGGGAUAGCCCUGGGAAACUGGGAUUAAUACCGCAUAGUAUCGAAAGAUUAAAGCAGCAAUGCGCUUGGGGAUGGGCUCGCGGCCUAUUAGUUAGUUGGUGAGGUAACGGCUCACCAAGGCGAUGACGGGUAGCCGGUCUGAGAGGAUGUCCGGCCACACUGGAACUGAGACACGGUCCAGGCACCUACGGGUGGCAGCAGUCGAGAAUCAUUCACAAUGGGGGAAACCCUGAUGGUGCGACGCCGCGUGGGGGAAUGAAGGUCUUCGGAUUGUAAACCCCUGUCAUGUGGGAGCAAAUUAAAAAGAUAGUACCACAAGAGGAAGAGACGGCUAACUCUGUGCCAGCAGCCGCGGUAAUACAGAGGUCUCAAGCGUUGUUCGGAAUCACUGGGCGUAAAGCGUGCGUAGGCUGUUUCGUAAGUCGUGUGUGAAAGGCGCGGGCUCAACCCGCGGACGGCACAUGAUACUGCGAGACUAGAGUAAUGGAGGGGGAACCGGAAUUCUCGGUGUAGCAGUGAAAUGCGUAGAUAUCGAGAGGAACACUCGUGGCGAAGGCGGGUUCCUGGACAUUAACUGACGCUGAGGCACGAAGGCCGGGGGAGCGAAAGGGAUUAGAUACCCCUGUAGUCCUGGCAGUAAACGGUGCACGCUUGGUGUGCGGGGAAUCGACCCCCCUGCGUGCCGGAGCUAACGCGUUAAGCGUGCCGCCUGGGGAGUACGGUCGCAAGAUUAAAACUCAAAGAAAUUGACGGGGACCCGCACAAGCGGUGGAGUAUGUGGCUUAAUUCGAUGCAACGCGAAGAACCUUACCUGGGCUUGACAUGUAAUGAACAACAUGUGAAAGCAUGCGACUCUUCGGAGGCGUUACACAGGUGCUGCAUGGCCGUCGUCAGCUCGUGUCGUGAGAUGUUUGGUUAAGUCCAGCAACGAGCGCAACCCCUGUUGCCAGUUACCAGCACGUGAAGGUGGGGACUCUGGCGAGACUGCCCAGAUCAACUGGGAGGAAGGUGGGGACGACGUCAGGUCAGUAUGGCCCUUAUGCCCAGGGCUGCACACGUACUACAAUGCCCAGUACAGAGGGGGCCGAAGCCGCGAGGCGGAGGAAAUCCUGAAAACUGGGCCCAGUUCGGACUGUAGGCUGCAACCCGCCUACACGAAGCCGGAAUCGCUAGUAAUGGCGCAUCAGCUACGGCGCCGUGAAUACGUUCCCGGGUCUUGUACACACCGCCCGUCACGUCAUGGAAGCCGGUCGCACCCGAAGUAUCUGAAGCCAACCGCAAGGAGGCAGGGUCCUAAGGUGAGACUGGUAACUGGGAUGAAG